rnacentral:sRNA from 1 species
AUUCUAGAAAACAACCCGUUAGCUAAUGACAUUGAGGAAAUUGAAGAACUCUGGAUGACUACAGUAUUAAAUUUGUCUUUACUGAGAAACCUCCUGACUCGGCACUGAUUUAUCUACAGAAAAUGUCUUCCCAACUUGUCAUACGUUCUUCUGUUUUUAUAUUGAAGUUGUUUUCAGUGAAAUAUGUUUUAUAACUUGAGCUUAGCUUUCUCCAUACAGGACUUUCACUGUACAGGUCUGCCAUGGGGCUAGCUACUGCAAGAUUUACUCAAAGAGUACAAAGUCUCCAAAGACCUGGCACAGAUCUGAAUCCUAGAGAAUAUCAUUCAGAACUAGUCAUCCUCAAGUUGAUCAUUGGUCCCAUACAAAGUUCAAAACAAAAGCUGUUUGACAAGAGUAACAUUCAGGAAGAUGUAAUGAAGAAGUUAAGUGCUGAAUAUUUCUGAAAACUCUUUAGUUCCUAAGGAAGUAAAUAAUAAAAUUGAAUUUCCUUAUCAGGCACUGAAAGCUUGAAAUGAUUCCUAGUGCAUUGUCACCUGCAGUUACGGAUGUCUCUCACCAGAGAAACCAUCUACUUUCUUCCUCUGCUGUAGAAAUUGCCAUGCUUUAUGUUGAGGGUAUAUUGUCUUCGUAAAAGAGAUGCCAAGUUCCCUGACAUACUAGACUAUAUCUUCUAAUUUAACAGGAAGUCCACAGCAGAUCUUUUUUUAAAAAGAUCUCUUUAUUAUUAUUUUAUCUGCAUUAGUGUUUCAUCUGAGUGUGCAUAUUUGUGAGGAUGUAGGAUUCCCUGGAACUGGAGUUACAAACAGUUGUGAACAGACAUGUCAGAGCUGGGAAUUGAACACAGAUCCUCUGAAGAGAGAUGCUGAGACAUCUCUCCAAUCUCCACAGUGGACCUUAGACGCAGCACUGGAAGUGCCAUCCUUGUAGAGCUGAGAGCACUAGUGACUGUUCUUUCAGCGCUGCCAUACACAAUUCAAACACUUCAUAUUUAUAUCUUGUUUGGCAAAAAUCUAGUUUGCCAUGUCAAUGUUGGAUAUGUUUUUUUUUUCCAACAGCGGGUCUGCUUUAGAAUAAACAAAUUGUUAAAGCUGUUUAGAAUAUCAAGUGAAAGUAUUAACUAUUUAAUGGGAAAGCAAGCAGGUCACCACCUUUACGAGUAGUAAAGUAAUUUUGUGUGUUUUUAAGUCUUCCAUGGUGUCACAUGUUGAACUAACUUGAAGCAAAAUGUCUUAGUUAGGGUCUUAUUG